GACGAACGCUGGCGGCGUGCUUAACACAUGCAAGUCGAGCGGUAAGGCCCUUUCGGGGGUACACGAGCGGCGAACGGGUGAGUAACACGUGGGUGACCUGCCCUCAGCUCUGGGAUAAGCCUGGGAAACCGGGUCUAAUACUGGAUAUGACUCCAUGACGCAUGUUGUGGGGUGGAAAGCCUUGUGCGGCUGAGGAUGGGCCCGCGGCCUAUCAGCUUGUUGGUGGGGUGANGGCCUACCAAGGCGACGACGGGUAGCCGGCCUGAGAGGGCGACCGGCCACACUGGGACUGAGACACGGCCCAGACUCCUACGGGAGGCAGCAGUGGGGAAUCUUGCGCAAGUGGGACGAAA
rnacentral:rRNA from 1 species